UAAAAAGGUCAUCUCAUGUCAUGCUGCCUC
rnacentral:piRNA from 1 species